ensembl:lncRNA
UCUUUAUAAUUAUAUGUUGUGAUUCAUGGUGAUUUUCUGUAGUCAGUGCUGAUGAUGUGUCUAUUUUAGGUUCUGGAAGAGUUCACUCUGCCGUCUCUCCUCCGCUGUGAUUCUCUCAAUUCCGAGACUCGUUUUUCAUCCCUCCUUCUGCUCGUCACACAGAGCUCCACCCAGAAACACCCCAGCAUCCUGUUCUUCAACUGUGCACCUGCCAGGGCGGAGCUCAUUAGAGAUGAAAUACGGCGUGUGGUGUCAGAUUACACAGACAGACAGAAAAGGUUGUCUCAGACGGGCAGUAUGGAUUAUCAGGACAUUCCCAGCCACCCCAGAGCACAAGCACCGUUCUCUCCCCCACCGUACGUUACAGCGAAUGGAGUGCCGAAUGGGGAGUCUGAUAAGGCGUUCUUGAAGGCGCAGCAGGAGGUGGUGAGUUUCAGUGUGUAACAAAUUACGCAACCCAUAAGUCCUGUUUGCUGGAAGCUCACACCUUUAGCUCAC